UAACAGGAAAGGCUUGCAGGGCGGUCGGCAUUCCUCCGGAAGGAGGUGAUGCAGUGGAAGUGUACCAAUCAUUGACGCUGAUGAUUUCAUUUGCGACUUUGGUCGUGUUGAUGCUUUCGUUCCAUAAUAGGAAAUAGACCGCCACUGUCCAAGGUUUGCGGUCUAUUUCCGUAAUCCCUUAAAGCCGUCCGCUCUUCAAGCGGCUGUUACAGAGGAGUCAUGUUAGCGCAUGGCUC
rnacentral:sRNA from 1 species